rnacentral:rRNA from 1 species
GACGAACGCUGGCGGCGUGCUUAACACAUGCAAGUCGAACGAAGAGCGAUGGAAGCUUGCUUCUAUCAAUCUUAGUGGCGAACGGGUGAGUAACGCGUAAUCGACCUGCCCUUCAGAGGGGGACAACAGUUGGAAACGACUGCUAAUACCGCAUACGAUCUAAUCUCGGCAUCGAGGAUAGAUGAAAGGUGGCCUCUACAUGUAAGCUAUCACUGAAGGAGGGGAUUGCGUCUGAUUAGCUAGUUGGAGGGGUAACGGCCCACCAAGGCGAUGAUCAGUAGCCGGUCUGAGAGGAUGAACGGCCACAUUGGGAAUGAGACACGGCCCAGACUCCUACGGGAGGCAGCAGUGGGGAAUCUUCCGCAAUGGACGAAAGUCUGACGGAGCAACGCCGCGUGAGUGAUGACGGCCUUCGGGUUGUAAAGCUCUGUUAAUCGGGACGAAAGGCCUUCUUGCGAAUAGUGAGAAGGAUUGACGGUACCGGAAUAGAAAGCCACGGCUAACUACGUG